GACGAACGCUGGCGGCGUGCCUAAUACAUGCAAGUCGAACGCAGUGGGGCCGGGUGAGUAACACGUGGGUAACCUCCCAUCAGAGGGGAUAACACUUGGAAACAGGUGCUAAACCGAUACUGAUGGAUGGACCCUCGGUGCAUUAGCUAGUUGGUGCGGUAACGGCUCACCAGGGCCACGAUGCAUAGCCGGCCUGAGAGGGUGACCGGCCAAACGGGGACUGAGACAAGGCCAAGACUCCUACGGGAGGCAGCAGUAGGGAAUAUUCGGCAAUGGACGAAAGUCUGACAGAGCAACGCCGCGUGAGUGAAGAAGGUUUUCGGGUCGUAAAGCUCUGUUGUUAGGGAAGCGGUAGCUAACCAGAAAGCCACGGCUAACUACGUGCCAGCAGCCGCGGUAAUUC
rnacentral:rRNA from 1 species